rnacentral:rRNA from 1 species
CCUACGGGAGGCUGCAGUGAGGAAUAUUGGUCAAUGGCCGGAAGGCUGAACCAGCCAAGCCGCGUGAAGGACGAAGGUGCCAAGCAUUGUAAACUUCUUUUGUCAAGGGACAAAAUCAGGCUCGAGAGCCUGACCGAGUGUACUUGAAGAAAAAGCAUCGGCUAACUCCGUGCCAGCUGCCGCGGUAAUACGGAGGAUGCGAGCGUUAUCCGGAUUUAUUGGGUUUAAAGGGUGCGUAGGCGGUCUGUUAAGUCAGCGGUAAAAGCCCGGGGCUCAACCCCGGCGCGCCGUUGAAACUGGCUGUCGUGAGUUGUGGAGAGGUAUGCGGAAUGCGCGGUGUAGCGGUGAAAUGCUUAGAUAGUGCGCAGAACUCCGAUUGCGAAGGCAGCAUACCGGCUGCGCACUGACGCUGAGGCACGAAAGCGUGGGUAUCGAACAGGAUUAGAUACCCGAGUAGUC